GAGACACGGUCCUCACUCCUACGGGAGGCAGGGGAGGGGAAUAUUGUGCAAUGGGCGCUAGCCUGAUGCAGCCAUGCCGGGGGUGUGAGGAAGGGCUUUGGGUAGCUAUUUCCUUUCGGAAGAAAGGAAGGUGAUGGGGUUUAUAACCGAAGCAAUUGACGUUUCCCGCACAACAAGCACCGGCUAACUUCGGGCCAGCAGGCGGGGCAAUACGGAGGGUGCAAGCGUUAAUCGGAAUUACUGGGCGUAAAGCGCACGCAGGCGCGCUGUUAAACCGGAUGUGAUAAUCCCCGCGGGGCUCAAGCCUGUGAAUCCGCACUUCGAUAGCUGGCAGGCUAAGGAGUCUGCGUGGAGAGGUCGUGUACUACUUCCAUGGAGUAGCGAGUGAAACACGUAAGAGAUCCGGAGGAAUACCGGUAUCUGAAGGCGGCCACCCUGAACAUAAGACUGACACUCAGGUGCGGAAAUGCGUGGGGAGCAAACAGGAUUAGAAUACCCUGCGCUAGUCCACGUCCGUAAAAGAUGUCGAUUUCGAGUGUCGGUGCCCUCGAAGCCGUGAGCUCCCGCAGUCUAACAGCGCUAGACUCGACCAGCCUGGCGAGUAAGGACUGCAAGGUUAAAAAUCUAAAUGAAUUGACGCGCGCCCGCCCAAGCAUGUGGAGCAUGUGGUUUAAUUCGAUGAGAACCUAACAACCUUACCUGGUCUUCGCAUCCACAGAAAUUUCACAGGUCAUGCCUUGUGUGCCU
rnacentral:rRNA from 1 species